rnacentral:rRNA from 1 species
ACGAACGCUGGCGGCACGCUUAACACAUGCAAGUCGAACGAGAGAAGAGAAGCUUGCUUUUCUGAUCUAGUGGCGGACGGGUGAGUAACACGUGAGCAAUCUGCCUUUCAGAGGGGGAUACCGAUUGGAAACGAUCGUUAAUACCGCAUAAUAUAAUUGAACCGCAUGAUUUGAUUAUCAAAGAUUUAUCGCUGAAAGAUGAGCUCGCGUCUGAUUAGCUAGUUGGUAAGGUAACGGCUUACCAAGGCGACGAUCAGUAGCCGGACUGAGAGGUUGAUCGGCCACAUUGGGACUGAGACACGGCCCAGACUCCUACGGGAGGCAGCAGUGGGGAAUAUUGCACAAUGGAGGAAACUCUGAUGCAGCGAUGCCGCGUGAGGGAAGAAGGUUUUAGGAUUGUAAACCUCUGUCUUCAGGGACGAAAAAUGACGGUACCUGAGGAGGAAGCUCCGGCUAACUACGUGCCAGCAGCCGCGGUAAUACGUAGGGAGCGAGCGUUGUCCGGAAUUACUGGGUGUAAAGGGAGCGUAGGCGGGAUCGCAAGUCAGAUGUGAAAACUAUGGGCUUAACCCAUAAACUGCAUUUGAAACUGUGGUUCUUGAGUGAAGUAGAGGUAAGCGGAAUUCCUAGUGUAGCGGUGAAAUGCGUAGAUAUUAGGAGGAACAUCAGUGGCGAAGGCGGCUUACUGGGCUUUAACUGACGCUGAGGCUCGAAAGCGUGGGGAGCAAACAGGAUUAGAUACCCUGGUAGUCCACGCCGUAAACGAUGAUUACUAGGUGUGGGGGGACUGACCCCUUCCGUGCCGCAGCAAACGCAAUAAGUAAUCCACCUGGGGAGUACGACCGCAAGGUUGAAACUCAAAGGAAUUGACGGGGGCCCGCACAAGCGGUGGAGCAUGUGGUUUAAUUCGAAGCAACGCGAAGAACCUUACCAGGUCUUGACAUCGUAUGCAUAGCUCAGAGAUGAGUGAAAUCUCUUCGGAGACAUAUAGACAGGUGGUGCAUGGUUGUCGUCAGCUCGUGUCGUGAGAUGUUGGGUUAAGUCCCGCAACGAGCGCAACCCUUACUGUUAGUUGCUACGCAAGAGCACUCUAGCAGGACUGCCGUUGACAAAACGGAGGAAGGUGGGGAUGACGUCAAAUCAUCAUGCCCCUUAUGACCUGGGCCUCACACGUACUACAAUGGCUGUCAACAGAGGGAAGCAAAGCCGCGAGGUGGAGCAAACCCCUAAAAGCAGUCUUAGUUCGGAUUGUAGGCUGCAACCCGCCUACAUGAAGUCGGAAUUGCUAGUAAUCGCAGAUCAGCAUGCUGCGGUGAAUACGUUCCCGGGCCUUGUACACACCGCCCGUCACGCCAUGGGAGUCGGUAACACCCGAAGCCUGUAGUCUAACCGCAAGGAGGACGCAGUCGAAGGUGGGAUUGAUGACUGGGGUG